CUAACAAGGAUUCCCCUAGUAACUGCGAGUGAAGCGGGAAAAGCUCAAAUUUAAAAUCUGGCAGUCUUUGGCUGUCCGAGUUGUAAUCUGGAGAAGCGUUUUCCGCGCUGGACCGUGUACAAGUCUCUUGGAACAGAGCGUCAUAGAGGGUGAGAAUCCCGUCUUUGACACGGACUACCAGUGCUUUGUGAUGCGCUUUCAAAGAGUCGAGUUGUUUGGGAAUGCAGCUCAAAAUGGGUGGUAAAUUCCAUCUAAAGCUAAAUAUUGGCGAGAGACCGAUAGCGAACAAGUACCGUGAGGGAAAGAUGAAAAGCACUUUGGAAAGAGAGUUAAACAGUACGUGAAAUUGCUGAAAGGGAAACGCUUGAAGUCAGUCGCGUCGUCUAGAACUCAACCUGGCUUUUGCUUGGUGCACUUUCUAGUUGACGGGCCAACAUCAGUUUUGACUGCUGGAAAAAUUCCAUUGGAAUGUGGCACCUCCGGGUGUGUUAUAGCCUUUGGUUGUAUACAGUGGUUGGGACUGAGGACCGCAGCACGCCUUAUGGCCGGGGUUCGCCCACGUACGUGCUUAGGAUGUUGGCGUAAUGGCUUUAAGCGACCCGUCUUGAAACACGGACCAAGGAGUCUAACAUGCCUGCGAGUGUUUGGGUGGAAAACCCGAGCGCGUAAUGAAAGUGAAAGUUGGGAUCCCUGUCGUGGGGAGCACCGACGCCCAUACCAGACCUACUGUGACGGAUAUGCGGUUGAGCAUGUAUGUUGGGACCCGAAAGAUGGUGAACUAUGCCUGAAUAGGGUGAAGCCAGAGGAAACUCUGGUGGAAGCUCGUAGCGAUUCUGACGUGCAAAUCGAUCGUCAAAUUUGGGUAUAGGGGCGAAAGACUAAUCGAACCAUCUAGUAGCUGGUUCCUGCCGA
rnacentral:rRNA from 1 species